UACGUAGGGUCCGAGCGUUGUCCGGAAUUACUGGGCGUAAAGAGCUCGUAGGUGGUUUGUCGCGUUGUUCGUGAAAACUCACAGCUCAACUGUGGGCGUGCGGGCGAUACGGGCAGACUGGAGUACUGCAGGGGAGACUGGAAUUCCUGGUGUAGCGGUGGAAUGCGCAGAUAUCAGGAGGAACACCGGUGGCGAAGGCGGGUCUCUGGGCAGUAACUGACGCUGGAGGAGCGAAAGCGUGGGGAGCGAACCGG
rnacentral:rRNA from 1 species